UAUCUGAAAUCGGAGUUAAAAAUGAACCCUUCUGCUUAUUUGCUUAUCUAGUGUUUAUUCUAUUCUAUAUGUAAGUUGAUUUACAUAUUUCUAGAUUGCUCAUAAAUUUCUGAAUUGUUGGAUAUUUCUAAAUUGUUCUGAAUACUUUGGUAUCUCUUUCGGUAUUAUCUUUCAGUAAAAAUAUUUCUUUAGUGUCCUUCAGUAGCUAACCUAGUUUUUUAUUUCUUCCCAUAGCUGGAGAAUGUAUUUCCCUUUCUGAGAAAGUCAUGAAGUUGUUAGUUCCUAAUGCAAUGAAAAUGCAGAUUUUCAUAUCCUACAAUAUUUUAGAUAAUAAUUUUAUUGGAUCAGAGAGAAGCACAGAACUCUUAAUUCACGUUUGCCAGAGAAAAGACUGUCACUUCAACUAACAGGAGCAGAAGCAUUGUAUCACCAGUAUUUUAAAGAGGAGUGCUGGGGAGAUGCUCUUGGUCUCUGUGCAAGCUACUGCGCAAGUAUACCUUUACCCAGCCUCGUAACUUCCUAAUUCUGACCCUGAGCCUGAUCUGCUGACCUGACUUUUUGGCUUGACCUUGGACCUGCCUCAUCACUACCAACCUGGCCUGUCAAUCUGAACUGUUGUUUGGACUAGAUCUGCUCUGCUCCUGCACAGGUGCUCUGCAA